CCCGGCUGAGCACGGUGUCACGGGUGCUGCAGCCCACUGCGGAGCAACUUCGGGUCAUCUUCUUGUUACGUGGGGCCCCACCUUCGGGGUUCCCGCGACAGCAUGAAUCACGACCACUUUAGCUCCGCCCGUUGACUCUGCGGCUACGACCUUUAUUUGUCACGAAAGGCGGGCUUUAGAGGCGCGGGACUUCCACACUUCCUCUCCGAAGGCCCUGCGCCGGUGCCGUAGCCAAUGACAGGCCACGUUGUGUCCCAGCAGCCAAUCGGAAGGGCCUGAGCCUGAAGACGUGCAUUUGACCGCUCCUCCCUCCGCGUUGGAGGCGGAAUAGUGGGUUUUGCUGCAACCGGUUUAUUUUCCUUCUGUUUUCACCCAUUCGGGCACAAUCUGGCGCCAUCGUCCUUCUUGUGAGGCCAAGCCUGAAAAUGCGAAGCAGAGAGGCAGGACCAAAAUUGAGGCGAAUCCGGGAACCUGCCAAUGGGUCUCCGGGUGCGGUCUCUGAAACUGGAGGAUAUCGGGAGGAAAGGCUCUCCGAUGCGGAGAUAAUGGGGAAGCUCUUGGCAUGGUUGGCUGUAGGUAUGUGAUACCGGAGGAGCAGGAGUCAAAUAGGAUACGCCGACUUUUAAUUCAAGGAACCCUUUUCUGAAACACUUUGCCACAAUGAAGGAAAUAAGGAAUUGUACUCUCAGAGAUGUUGAGAAAAGAUACAUGGGUCUUGGAAGAUAAUUACUCAAAAUAUGCAGGGAAGGAAUAAAAUUGAAGGGUGUUUUUCUUAGAGAACAUCAUUUGUCAUAUUUAUUUGAUCAAGAAGUUGAAGAUUUAUGUAAUAAGGAUCUAGUUUGAAGCACUAAGAAGAAUAAGACAUCAGUUUGAAAAGAGGCUCUAUCAGAAUAACACGAAUUCUGCUAAAAUUGAAGCAAGAACAAACAUCAAAUAUAUGUUGACACUUGGGUGGAAGAAUGGUGAACUAAUUGAUGCUUUAUGAAAAGUCGAUAGGGACAAUGCUCCAAAGAAAUCAGUUUACAAAUGGAUAACUCGUUUUAAGAAGGCAUAAGGUAAUGUUGAAGAAGAAGCCCACAGUGGCAGAUCAUCCACAUCAGUUUGUGAGAAAAAAGUUAGUUCAUGGCGUAAUUGAAGAAAACCAACAAUUAACAGCAGAAACAACAGCCAACACCAUAGACAUCUCAGUUGGUUCACCUUACACAAUUUUGACUGGAAAAGUUCAGCAAACUUUAUACCUGAUAGGUACCAAAACCAUUGCACCCAGAUCAGCUACAGACAAGAAUAGAGCUUUCAAUGGAAAUUUUAAAUAAGUGGGAUCAGGAUCUUGAAGCCUUUCAUUGAAAAAUUGUAACAGGAGAUGAAACAUGGCUUUACCAGCGCAAUCCUGAAGACAAAACACAAAGCAGUGGUUACCAAGAUAAGUAGUUCAGUUAAAGCACAAGAGGACUGGUUGAGAGCAAAGGUCAUGACAACAGCUUUUGAAUGCUCAAGGCAUUUUGCUUGUUGACUUUCUGUAGGGCCAAAGAAUGGUAACGUGCUUAUCAUGGGAGUGUUUUGAGAAACUUAGUCAAAGCUUCAGCAGAAAAAUCCCCGAGAAAGACCAGAGAGUUCUUCACCACAACAAUGUUCCUGCUAAUCCCUCUCAUCAAACAAGGGCAUUUUGCAAGAGUUUUGAUGGGAAAUCACUAGGCAUCCACCCUACAGUCCUGGUUUGGCACCUUCUGACUUUUUGUUUCCUAAUCUUAAAAAAAUUUUUAAGGGCAGUACAUUUUUCUCAAGUUAAUGUAUAAAGAAACUGCAUUGAUGUAGAUAAAUUCCCAGAACUCUCAGUUCUUUAGGGAUGGACUAAAUAGCUGGUAUCAUCACUUACAAAAGUGUCUUGAAUGCUAUAGAGCUAAUGUUCAGAAAUAUAGUUUAUAUUUUUUAUCUUUUAACCAUUUUUCCACAAACUUUUUGAAGUCUCCUUGAAUAUGUACCAUUUAUAAAGGGGAAAAAUUCUGUGACUACUCAUGUUGACUUAAUGCUGACUUAAUUUUCUGUUUUGUAAAUAUAUACAAACAAGUUGAUACAAAUUUUGUUUAUAGCCCUUAAACAAAUUUGUGAAAUAAAUGCAUUCAGAAACAAACUAAAACAAUGAAAUGGAUGCUACUGUUUUACUGAGG
rnacentral:lncRNA from 1 species